AGAAGAGUCCUGGCGUCGCCUGCUACCAGCGCCGCGCUCCUCUGAACAAACACUGCCGGAGCCCUCCGUGAGCCGGCUAUUCCAGCCCAGCCCCGCGUCCGCCCGUCCCGCAGCAGGCGCGGUGAAUCGUGCGCGCUGGCGGACGAGGCGGGCUCGGCAGGACGCUGCUGUGCCGUCCCGUGUGGAUUUGGCUCCAGGUCGUCCUGAGGAUGCCGCGCAGAAGCCGUGUGGGCCUCGGGACGCAGGCCUGCGUGGCUGCAGCGCACCAGGGGAGGCUCCGGGGAUCCCGAGCUGGCGCGGACUCGCGAGACCCCCUGGCCGCUCUGCGGGGAGCGCUGGGGAGGCGUCCCGAGCGGGCGCCAGAGACCCGCGGGCUCCCCGUGCAGGGGCUGCCUGGGCUGGGGCCCGGGUGGGUCUGCGCAGGUGUGGGAAGUGCCGGCUCCCGGUAGAUGCUGAAGGCGGAGUUGCCAGGAUUUGCUGCGGACUUUUGGAGAAAUGAGGCGGGGAAGGACGAGCUUGAGAACCGACGCCGGAGAGACGGGGAAGACGGGGGAGGCCUGAGCGCGGGCUGGCAUGGCUGGGGAGGUUGUGCACUGCCCAAGAAUGCUCACUGAGGAGCGUGUUCACGUCUCAUCGUGGGUGUCUGUGUUUAUUAUGACAACUACCAGCAGCCCCCGAGGAGCAGCGACAGAUGGAGGUCGGGGGCUCUAAGCUGAACACAGGCGGUCGGUCCUCCUUCCCAGGAGCCUCAGCGUGUGUGUCCGCAGGUGCCCCUUUAUCUAGCGCCCUUGGGGGAAUGGGACGUGUCAGAGGAGAUGCAGUGGGCAGAGGCUGCACUGGAUGAAGAGAACUAUGUGGGAAUCGCAUGUGGGGUGUGACUGGGGACCAGUGCCUGAACUCUGGGACUCCAACUUGAAGAGGUUUGGAAUCUGCAAAGGAGACUAGGAAGGGGCACAGGGGGUGCUAGGGGUGGGGGCCGGAGGACAAACCAGGAGAGGGGCUUCUGGAAGCCAGAGAGGGCGUGCACACACAGGCGGGGGAGGGAGCCUGGGUGCAGCAGGGUGGGCCACUGCGACUCACCGAGGGCCAGCGGCGCUGGGGCCAGGGGCUGGAGUUUGGAGAGUGAGCAGAGAGCACGCAGGGGCUGUGAACACCAACUUCUCUUUCAGGUCAAUUUGCUGCAAAGGGGAAGGUAAAGGUGGAGGUAACUAAGGAGCAGGGCAAGAGAGGGGUGUGGUUUUCUGUAGGGUCCAGCCCUACGGGGGCUUAGCAGGUGUCCUCCCCGUGUGCAGAGACCAGAGAUUGUAAUAAAGACACGAGAUAAAGAGCAGCUGGGCCCCGGGGGACCACUACCAUCAAGACGUGGAGACCGGUAGUGGCCCUGAGCGCCUAGGUGCGCUGAUAUUUAUUGCAUACAAGACAAGGGGGCAGGGUAAGGAGGGUGAAUCUUCUAAGUGAUAAAGUGAAGCAAGUCACGUGAUCAUAGGACAGGGGGCCCUUCCCUCUUAGGCAGCCGAAGCAAAGAGAGAAGGCAGCAUAUGUCAGCAUUUUCUUCUCUGCACUUAGAAGAACGAUCAAAGACUUUAAGACUUUCACUAUUUCUUCUACCGCUAUCUACUACGAACUUCAAAGAGGAGCCAGGAGUACGGGAGGAGCAUGAAAGUGGAUAAGGAGUGUGAUCAUUCAAGCACCACAGGGAGGGGGUUAGGCCUCCGGAUGACUGCAGGCCAGGCCUGGAGAAUAUCCAGCCUCCCACAAGAAGCUGGUGGAGCAGAGUGUUCCCUGACUCCUCCAAGGAAAGGAGACUCCCUUUCACGGUCGGCUAAGUAACGGGUGCCUUCCCAGGCACUGGCGUUACCGCUUGACCAAGGAGCCCUCAAGCGGCCCUUAUGUUGGCGUGACAGAGGGCUCACCUCUUGCCUUCUAGGUCACUUCUCACAACGUCCCUUCAGCACCUGACCCUAUACCCGCCGGUUAUUCCUAGGUUGUAUUAGUAAUGCCACAAAGAGUAAUAUUAAAAGCUAAUGACUAAUAUUUAUAAUAAUGAUUGAUAAUUUUCCAUGAUCAUCUCUGUAUCUAAUUCGUAUUAGGACUAUUCUUAUUCUAUUUUCUUUAUUAUACUGAAACAGUUUGUGCCUUCAGUCUCUUGCUUCGGCACCUAGGUAAUCUUUCGCCCACAGUUUUCUGUUUGCAAUGGGAGAAAUAACAGGCACUUAUGGGUUCUGAAAAUGCCCCUGCAGGAAGGAGGAGUGGAUGGUGCCGACGACUGAGGAGGACUCUGGAGCAAUCUAUUCUCGGUGGGCCAGAGGGGCUGGGUGUCACUGCAGUCACCCAGGCCAGCCACCUGAACUCACGCACUUCAGUCUGUUUCUCAACCUCUGUGUGCCUCUGUGUCCUUGGCUGUGAAACAGGAAUGUGGGUGCUCAGGCCUACCUCUUAGGUCACUGUGAGGACGAGAUAGGUACGCCUCAGGUGGGGUCCAGUGUGAUCAGCCAGCGGGCUGCGGGACCGCCCUCUGCCCUGCACCAGGCACCUCCCCUACCUUUACAUGUGCCACGUGCCUGCCUGCUGGACACUAGAUGCAGGGGCAUCCACAGACACGCCGAGGCUCCUGGGAAGGAGGACGGGAUGCCUGGGGGGCUGCUGGUAAUUGUCAUAAUAAACACAUGCACCCAGGCCAGGCACGGUGGCACUUGCCCUGUUAUCCCAGCACUUUGGCAGGCCACAGCGGGAGGAUCACUUGAGCCCAGGAGUUCCAACCUGGGCAACAUGGUGAGAUUUCCUUUCUACAAAAAAAUUUAAAAAAUUAGCCUGACAUGGUAGUGCACACCUGUAGUCCCAGCUACUCGGGAGGCUGAGGUGGGAGGAUUGCUUGAGACCAGGAGGUUGAGGCUGCAGUGAACCGCGAUGGCACCACUGCACUGCAGCCUGGGUGACAGAGUGAGACCAUGUCUCAAAAACAAUAAAGCCGGGCAUGGUGGCUCACACCUGUAAUCCAGCACUUUCGGCUGAGGCAGGAGGGUUACCUGAGGUCAGGAGUUGGAGACCAACCUGGCCAACACGGUGAAACCCCAUCUCUACUAAAACUACAAAAGUUACCUGGGCAUGGUUACGCGUGCCUGUAGUCCCAGCUACUCGGGAGGCUGAGGCAGGAGAAUGGCGUGAACCUGGGAGGCAGAUGCUGCAGUGAGCCAAGAUCGCGCCACUGCACUCCAGCCUGGGCAACAGAGUGAGACUCUGUCUCAAAAAUAAAUAAAUGAAUAAAUAAACGCCAGGUGCGGUGGCUCACGCCUGUAAUCCCAGCACUUUGGGAGGCCGAG
rnacentral:lncRNA from 10 species